rnacentral:rRNA from 1 species
GGACCCGCACAAGCAGCGGAGCAUGUGGUUUAAUUCGAAGCAACGCGAAGAACCUUACCAGGGCUUGACAUCCUCCUGACCGGUCCUUAACCGGGCCUUUCUUCGGACAGGAGAGACAGGUGGUGCAUGGUUGUCGUCAGCUCGUGUCGUGAGAUGUUGGGUUAAGUCCCGCAACGAGCGCAACCCUUGUCAUUAGUUGCCAGCCUUUAGUUGGGCACUCUAAUGAGACUGCCGGGGACAACUCGGAGGAAGGUGGGGAUGACGUCAAAUCAUCAUGCCCCUUAUGUCCUGGGCUACACACGUGCUACAAUGGUCGGUACAACGAGAAGCAAGACUGUGAAGUGGAGCAAAUCUUAGAAAACCGAUCCCAGUUCGGAUUGCAGGCUGCAACUCGCCUGCAUGAAGUCGGAGUUGCUAGUAAUCGCGGAUCAGAAUGUCG